rnacentral:lncRNA from 1 species
GUUGGGUUACAAGGGAGCCGGAAUCAUUAAUGAAAUAUCUUUUUUAGCCGUUUGACAAGUUACCUACUUUUGUACAAAAUCUGGGGGCGUUUUGAUUCUCCUUCUCUUGCAACGCCUUCUCUCGGACCAUGAAGAAAUCUUUUCUUGUUGAACAAAUUAACCACUCAAUGCAAGGAAUUUUGACAGAUGGUACAAAGAAUUCAUCAUUUUAGUUCUGCUGCAGAGAAUCAAUUUUGUUGCAUUUUAAGGUCAAUGGAAAAUAAUCAUUUCUCAUGGUAUCUUGAUAUACAUUUUAAUCAUUUAGCUUUUCAUAUAACUAAUCUGUCCUUCAAGUUUAUCAUCUCUCCCUCACUCUUUCUUUUUAAUUUUUCAUCUUUCUCAUUGUUCUUUAUUCCACAAUCUUUUGAUACCAGGACAUCUACAACCAUGUCCAGAUUUUUGAUAGUUUAUUUCUUCACUUGGAUUAUAAAAUAGUUGGUUGCUUGGAGGUGUGCAUUAUCCAUGAUACAGGACAGGGAAUUAGCAGCGAUGAAGAUGGAAGCGAUAGGGAUGAAGACGCUGAUUCAAGGGGUUGAUCAUGAUGGAAACCCAACCAUGGAGUGCUGGAUUAAGAGUCCUUUUUGCAUUUGAGUUCUGGUUUAGCCAAGUCAAAAGUCCUUCUAAUAUUUUGUUCCUAAAUUAAGUCAGGAUUAGCAUCUUUGUUUGAUUAAGUUUCUGAGUUACGAGUCCUUGUUGGUUUAGCCUUAAGAUUUAGUUUUUCUUUGAGUUCGUUUGCGAUGAGUUACGGUGUGUGCGAUCCUAUAUAAGGAAUCGCAAGGAGGGCUCGUUCCUUCUUCUGCUUGGUCUUUGUUUUUUCAGCCAUCAAUGAAUGAAAAUU